rnacentral:misc_RNA from 1 species
AGAGUCUUAACGGUUUUUGUUUAAAAAUUUUAUUUAAUUACUUUUAAAAUGUUUCCCGAUUUUUAUGUUCACAAAGAUUUCUUUAUGGAACAAUGGUUUGGUCAUACAAAUCAUAAACAUCAUUAUCAUCGUUCCAUGUUCGCGUCACGUGUAAGAAACGUUUUAACUCCAUCGGUCGAUAUGAAUGGCUAUAGUCGUAAAUCUCCCUCAAAGCGUCGCUAUGAAGGUUCCAAGUAUUCGGUUAGAAAUUCAUCUGAAUCUGAGGAGAAAAGUCCUCAAAAUAUGAAAAUAUCUUCAUCAGGCGAUAUGAAUGGUUACAGUCGUAAAUCACCCUCAAAGCGUCGUUAUGAGGGUUCAAAGUAUUCAGGCACCCCCAAAAAGAAAACUAGAACCAGUAAGGAACGUGUACCACAACCAAAAAAUACAGUUGCCAUGUUAAAUGAACUGCGACAUGGUCUCGUUUAUAAAUUGGAAUCACAGAGUGGCCCAGUGCAUGCACCAUUAUUUACAAUUUCUGUUGAGGUUGAUGGUCAAAAAUACUUGGGACAAGGACGUAGUAAAAAAAUUGCCCGCAUAGAGGCUGCUGCUACAGCUCUACGCAGUUUUAUACAAUUCAAAGAUGGUGCUGUUUUGACGCCGCUAAAACCGGCCUGUAAUCUGGACUUUACCAGUGAUGAACAUUUGGAUAAUGAUUCCAAUAAAAGUUCAUUAAGUGUUGAUGGUCAAAAGAAAGUACCGGACAAGGGACCUGUGAUGUUAUUGUAUGAACUAUUCACUGAUGUACAUUUCGAAUGCUCAACCAUAGAUGGAGCUCAGAAUAAUUGUCGUUUUAAGAUGACAGUAACGGUCAAUAAUAGUAAAUUUGAUGGAACUGGUCCCUCAAAAAAAUUAGCCAAAAAUGCUGCUGCUAAAGCAGCUCUUGCUUCGCUAUGCAAUAUCUCCUACAGUCCCAUGAUGCAUCCACAGAAAAGUUUACCCUUGCCCAUGGAUGAUAAGUCAGCUUCGAUGGAAUUACCACAAAUACAUGCCGAUACCAUUGGACGUUUGGUAUUGGAGAAAUUUAUGGAAGUUAUUAAGGGUCAGGAAUCGUAUUCGCGUCGUAAAGUUUUGGCGGGCAUUGUAAUGACGGAAAAUAUGAAUUUCAAUGAGGCUCAAGUCAUUUCCGUAUCUACUGGUACUAAGUGUGUCAGUGGUGAGCACAUGAGCAUUAAUGGCACUGUCCUUAAUGAUUCACAUGCCGAAAUUGUAUCACGUCGUUGUUUUAUGAAAUAUUUGUAUGCACAAUUGGAACUACAUUUUAAUCAGGUUCAUUUGUAAAGCAAUUUUGUAUAUCAGUCGCUUAUUGAAGGCCUUUAACUCCUGAAGAAAUCAAUAACGCUUUGUUUACUCUUCAAUAUCCACUCAUUCUUCACAUUCUACAAUCAACAGUUUAUCAAGUAAAAAAACAGCAAAGUU